rnacentral:rRNA from 1 species
UACAGAGGGUGCGAGCGUUUAAUCGGAAUUACUGGGCGUAAAGCGUGCGUAGACGGUUAUUUAAGUCGGAUGUGAAAGCCCCGGGCUCAACCUGGGAAUUGCAUUCGAGACUGAAUAGCUAGGGUGCGGUAGAGGGAAGCGGAAUUUCCGGUGUAGCGGUGAAAUGCGUAGAUAUCGGAAGGAACAUCAGUGGCGAAAAGCGGC